rnacentral:rRNA from 1 species
UACGGAGGGGACUAGCGUUGUUCGGAAUUACUGGGCGUAAAGCGCACGUAGGCGGAUUGUAAGUCAGGGGUGAAAUCCCGGGGCUCAACCUCGGAACUGCCUUUGAUACUGCAAAUCUCGAGUCCGGAAGAGGUGAGUGGAACUCCGAGUGUAGAGGUGAAAUUCUAGAUAUUCGGAAGAACACCAGUGGCGAAGGCGGCUCGACUGGUCCGGUACUGACGCUGAGGCACGAAAGCGUGGG